UUCACAACAUCACUAUAAAUAUUAGUGUAUUUUUCAUCACUCCAAUUCAGAUGUAUGUUGUUCAGCUGUCAGGCAAGAGGGAAGCUGUGAAGCUAAAAUUUAAAAAUACUCUUCAAACAGCUGCCCCAAACAGAUUCUAAUUUUAGAGGUCCUGUUUGCAAAAGCAAAGCCCCAAAAUAAAACAUUUGCAGAUUGAGGCAGCUACUAUAAAAGUCCAUCUGAAGAAGGUUGUCUUCUACAGAAGCAAGAUGGGGAAGAACUUCCAAGUCUGUCCCCUGUGUCUUUUACAAGAAGGAAAACGCAGAUUUGAAUAAAAUGAACGAACACACAAUAUUUUCCAGAAACACUAAACUGGGAUGAUGAAAAGAACAACCAUCCAAAACAUAUUGAACCAAGGGCUUCAAGAUAAACCCCACACCAUCCAAUUAUGGGCAUGGAACUGGAGGACCAUUAAACUAUCAUCCUAGAUGUGUCUUACUCAGAAGUAAACCACAGUGACUUUAA